ACUCUCUUGGUGGUUGAAGGCAUACUACACUUCCUUUGGCUCCCAUGACUUAUAGCUUCGAUUAAGGCAUUUUCUUGUUUUGCCUGAAAUGGUUCACUGUGUCAGUCUACUGUUUCAUGCAUCCUAGUCAUCUGGCAAAUGUAUCAUAUUACUGAAAAAACAAAACAAAAAAGAAAAGAGAUCGAAAAUAAAAAGGCAAAAAAGCAAAAACAAAAAGAAAGGAAAAACAAGCAAAAAACAAAAAAAAUAGCAGAAAAAAAUCAAAAAAAGAGGAAAGAAUUUAUUUUACUAACAUUAGAUAUCUUUUGUUCUGCAGCAU
rnacentral:lncRNA from 1 species